rnacentral:sRNA from 1 species
UACAGGCUGCUCGGGGGACGGUUAGUCCACACCCUUUUUAGAAAGGGGGUGGUGCCUAUGACUACAUAUGAGGCAUUGACAUUUGCAGUCGCAUUUGCCACGCUCAUAGUCUUAGUCAUAAAAAAAUAACCGCCCCUGCUCAAAGUGCGGCGGUUAUUUUAAUCCCGUAGACAUGGGCUAACCGUUUUCCGGUUAGGCAGUCUGGAGUGGGCUGGCGUGCUACUAACACGUCAG